GACGAACGCUGGCGGCGUGCUUAACACAUGCAAGUCGAGCGGUAAGGCCCCUUCGGGGGUACACGAGCGGCGAACGGGUGAGUAACACGUGGGUGACCUGCCCUCAGCUCUGGGAUAAGCCUGGGAAACUGGGUCUAAUACCGGAUAUGACUCCAUGACGCAUGUCGUGGGGUGGAAAGCCUUGUGCGGCUGGGGAUGGGCCCGCGGCCUAUCAGCUUGUUGGUGGGGUGAUGGCCUACCAAGGCGACGACGGGUAGCCGGCCUGAGAGGAUGGUCAGCCACACUGGGACUGAGACACGGCCCAGACUCCUACGGGAGGCAGCAGCGGGGAAUAUUGCGCAAUGGGCGAAAGCCUGACGCAGCAACGCCGCGUGAGGGAUGAAGGCUUUCGGGUUGU
rnacentral:rRNA from 1 species